UACGAAGGGUGCAAGCGUUACUCGGAAUUACUGGGCGUAAAGCGUGCGUAGGUGGUUUGUCAAGUCUGAUGUGAAAGCCCUGGGCUCAACCUGGGAAUUGCAUUGGAUACUGGCAGGCUAGAGUGCGGUAGAGGAUGGCGGAAUUCCCGGUGUAGCAGUGAAAUGCGUAGAGAUCGGGAGGAACAUCUGUGGCGAAGGCGGCCAUCUGGACCAGCACUGACACUGAGGCACGAAAGCGUGGGGAGCAAACAGG
rnacentral:rRNA from 1 species